UUCAAAUUUUCUAAGAUCAAAUGUCAGGCUCUUUCCAAUUCUUUUUUCUAACAUAACAGUAGUGGAUUGGUAUUCUCUGUUUGUUUAUAUAAGAAGGGCCAUUGCAGCUGCCUCUAUUACUUCAAAACGAUAUGGCUUCUUUCGUAGUCUUUCUUCGCUAUCUGGUCUCUAUCACUCUCUGCAUUGCCUAUGCUUCUGCAUAUGCUACUCAACACCUUGAUGGUGAACUACCAAAUGGACACUUCGAAGAAUCACCCCGUUCCUCAAACCUUAAGAAAACAGUCAUCCUCGGCAAACACUCACUCCCUAAGUGGGAGAUCGACGGCCUGGUGGAGUACAUCUCAGGUGGGCCGCAGCCUGGUGGGUUCUACUUUCCGGUGGCGCGUGGCGUCCACGCUCUGAGGCUCGGCAACGAGGCCUCCAUUUCUCAGAACGUGAACGUUAACCCGGGUUCAGUUUACUCCCUCACUUUUAGCACCACAAGGACUUGUGCUCAAGACGAAGUGCUCAGGGUCUCGGUGCCAGGUCAGUCUGCAGAGCUUUCCGUUCAGACUUUGUACAGCAACAAUGGGGGUGACACUUAUGCAUGGGCCUUUAAGGCAACUUCUAAGGUUGUUAGGGUUACGUUCCACAACCCUGGGAUUCAAGAGGACCCAGCCUGCGGCCCUCUGUUGGAUGCUAUUGCAAUCAAGGAGAUCAUACUGCCUCAGAAGUAUAUAAGAGGUAACCUAGUCAAAAACGGUGGAUUUGAAAACGGUCCUCAUGUGUUCAAGAAUUUUUCAACUGGAGUGCUCCUCCCUCCACAGUUACUGGACCAAAUCUCACCCCUGCCAGGAUGGAUCAUUGAAUCCCUAAAACCUGUGAAGUACAUUGACAGGAAGCACUUCUCAGUACCAACCGGAUUCGCAGCAAUCGAAUUAUCGAAUUGGUCGCAGGAAGGGAGACUGCCAUUGCUCAAAUUAUUAGAACAAUCCCAAACAAAUCCUACAACCUUAUGUUCACCAUCGGAGAUGCAAAGAAUGGCUGUCAUGGAUCGAUGAUGGUUGAAGCCUUUGCGGGUAAGGAAACUUUAAAAGUUCCUUAUGUGUCUCAAGGCAAGGGUGGAUUCAGAACUGCAAGCUUCAAGUUCCAAGCAGUUUCCUCGAGAACUAGAAUAACAUUUUACAGUGCAUAUUAUCACACAAAGCUUCAUGAUUUUGGUCAUAUGUGUGGCCCUGUCCUAGACAAUGUCAUUGUCUUUCCAAGCAGAUACUAA